GAUGAACGCUGGCGGCGUGCCUAAUACAUGCAAGUCGAGCGAACAGACGAGGAGCUUGCUCCUCUCACGUUAGCGGCGGACGGGUGAGUAACACGUGUAUAACCUACCUAUAAGACUGGGAUAACUUCGGGAAACCUGCGCUAAUACCGGAUAAUAUAUUGAACCGCAUGGUUCAAUAGUGAAAGACGGUUUUGCUGUCACUUAUAGAUGGAUCCGCGCCGCAUUAGCUAGUUGGUAAGGUAACGGCUUACCAAGGCAACGAUGCGUAGCCGACCUGAGAGGGUGAUCGGCCACACUGGAACUGAGACACGGUCCAGACACCUACGGGAGGCAGCAGUAGGGAAUCUUCCGCAAUGGGCGAAAGCCUGACGGGGCAACGCCGCGUGAGUGAUGAAGGUCUUCGGAUCGUAAAACUCUGUUAUUAGGGAAGAACAAAUGUGUAAGUAACAAUGCACGUCUUGACGGUACCUAAUCAGAAAGCAACGGCUAACUACGUG
rnacentral:rRNA from 1 species